rnacentral:rRNA from 1 species
GACGAACGCUGGCGGCGUGCCUAAUACAUGCAAGUUGAGCGCUGAAGGUUGGUACUUGUACCUACUGGAUGAGCAGCGCACGGGUGAGUAACGCGUGGGGAAUCUGCCUUUGAGCGGGGGACAACAUUUGGAAACGAAUGCUAAUACCGCAUAAAAACUUUAAACACAAGUUUUAAGUUUGAAAGAUGCAAUUGCAUCACUCAAACAUGAUCCCGCGUUGUAUUAGCUAGUUGGUGAGGUAAAGGCUCACCAAGGCGAUGAUACAUAGGCGACCUGAGAGGGUGAACGGCCAACAUGGGAACGGGACAAGGCCCAAACUCCUACGGGAGGCAGCAGGAGGGAAACUUCGGAAAUGGACGAAAGUCUGAACGAGCAACGCCGCGGGAGAGAAGAAGGUUCUCGGAUCGUAAAACUCCGUUGGUAGAGAAGAAAGGUGGUGAGAGUGGAAAGCUCAUCAAGUGACGGUAACUACACAGAAAGGGACGGCUAACUACGUG